AGCCUGAACGCUGGCGGCGUGGCUAAGACAUGCAAGUCGCACGGUGUAGCAAUACACAGUGGCGAACGGGUGAGUAAUAUAUCGCUAACGUACCCCGGACUCUGGGAUAGCCAUCUGAAAGGAUGGGUAAUACCAGAUAAUAUACCUUGAUCGCAUGAUCAGGGUCUCCAAGGUCCGCC
rnacentral:rRNA from 1 species